UUUUUCCUCAAAUCAAGUAGGACUACCCGCUGAACUUAAGCAUAUCAAUAAGCGGAGGAAAAGAAACCAACAGGGAUUGCCUCAGUAACGGCGAGUGAAGCGGCAAAAGCUCAAAUUUGAAAUCCCCCCGGGGAGUUGUAAUUUGAAGAUUGCGUCUUGGAGGCGACCGUGUCUAUGUUCCUUGGAACAGGACGUCACAGAGGG
rnacentral:rRNA from 1 species